UACAGGGGGUGCAAACGUUGCUCGGAAUUAUUGGGCGUAAAGGGUGCGUAGGCGGCGCGGUAAGUCGGGUGUGAAAUCUCGGAGCUUAACUCCGAAACUGCAUUCGAUACUGCCGUGCUUGAGGACUGGAGAGGAGACUGGAAUUUACGGUGUAGCGGUGAAAUGCGUAGAUAUCGUAAGGAAGACCAGUGGCGAAGGCGGGUCUCUGGACAGUUCCUGACGCUGAGGCACGAAGGUCAGGGGAGCAAACGGG
rnacentral:rRNA from 1 species